UUACCGCGGCUGCUGGCACGUAGUUAGCCGGGGCUUCCUCCUAGGGUACCGUCAUUAUCUUCCCCUAGGACAGAGCUUUACGACCCGAAGGCCUUCUUCACUCACGCGGCGUCGCUGCAUCAGAGUUUCCUCCAUUGUGCAAUAUCCCCCACUGCUGCCUCCCGUAGGAGUCUGGACCG
rnacentral:rRNA from 1 species